AUGCCGACGGCAUUCUUGCUGACCGCCCUGCUACUGGCGGCAGCGGCAGCGACCAACGAGGCGGCAGGGAGCCUCGUCGUAACCCAUGGCUGCGCGACGAGCUGCGGCGGCGUGGACAUCCCCUACCCUUUCGGCAUCGGCGGCGGCUGCUUCCGCAAGGGCUUCGAGAUCGAGUGCGUCAACAGCAGCCGCGCUGUGCUCGCCGGCACGUCCAUCCAGGUGAUGCACCUGUCGUCGGACCCGGCCGAGUCGCUGGUGAUGCUCCCCAUUGGAUGGAUGUGCUUUAACGCCUCCAGCCCCAGCGAAGCCUCGGGUUUCAGCUACGCCGAGACGGAGAUGAACAAGGACGGCGUGUACCGCAUCUCCAACACACACAACAUGCUCGUCGUCCUCGGCUGCAACACCUUCGCCUACACGGGCAGCGGGAAGACGCAGGGCGGCACCGAUGCCUACACCUACUACACGGGCUGCAUGUCCUUCUGCAACAACUCGGCCAGCGCACAGGACGGCCUCUGCGCCGGCGUUGGGUGCUGCCGCCUCGACAUCCCGCCGGGCCUCACCGGCAACUACUUCAAGUUCCGUACCUACGACCACUCCACCAUGAUGGACUACAGCCCCUGCGACUACGCAUUCCUCGUCGACAGGAACAACUACACCUUCCGACGGUCCGACCUCCUCAUGGACACCAACCGGACCUCGCCGGUCUGGCUGGACUGGGCCAUCCGCGGCAACGGCUCCGCUUCUGGCGACGUGUUCUCAUGCACACAGGCGGCCAAGACGGGUCAGUCCGCAUGCGUCAGCGCGCACAGCGACUGCGUGGAUUCCACCAAUGGGCCUGGCUACAACUGCAAGUGCUCCAAAGGCUACGAGGGCAACGCCUACCUUGCCGACGGAUGCACCAAUAUAGAUGAAUGUGCACAUCCAGCAAAGUAUCAUUGCUACGGUGUCUGCAAGGACACUCAAGGAUCUUACCAAUGCACCUGUCAUCCAGGUUAUGAGAGCGAUGACCCAAGAACUGGACCCUGCGCUCCAAAGUUCCCACUUGCUGCACAGAUUUCCAUAGGUGUAAUAGGCGGUACACUUGUCAUCGCAUUAGUGGCAUUCAUCAUUAUUAUUCGAAAAGAGAAGCGGAAGACCAGGGAGUUUUAUGAGAAAAAUGGUGGUCUUACCUUGGAGAAAGCUAAAGUUAUAAAGCUUUUCAAAAAGGAGGAGCUCAAGCCAAUUUUAAGAAGUAGCAAUUUAAUUGGAAAAGGUGGCUUUGGUGAAGUUUACAAGGGGGUUGUUGAUAACAUACUAGUUGCAGUAAAGAAACCAAUUAGCGGUAAUGUGCUGGAGAACAAGCAAUUUGCAAAUGAAGUCAUCAUACAGUCUCAAGUCAUCCACAAGAACAUCGUUAAGCUUAUAGGUUGUUGCCUAGAAGUGGAUACCCCCAUGCUAGUGUACGAGUUCAUUUCCAAAGGAAGCUUGCAUGACAUUCUUCAUGAGUCCGAGAAGAGGGAGCCACUCAACUUGGAUGUGCGUCUAAGCAUUAUUGUGGAAUCGGCACAUGGUCUAGCUUAUAUGCAUUCCCAAGCCCAUACCAAAAUCCUGCACGGUGAUGUUAAACCAGCAAAUAUACUUUUGGAUGACAACUUUGUGCCAAAGAUCUCAGACUUUGGCAUAUCGAGGUUGAUUGCAGUAGAUAAGGAACACACUGCAAAUGUCAUUGGUGACAUGACUUAUAUGGAUCCAGUAUACCUACAAACAGGCCGACUGACUGAAAAAAGUGAUGUCUACAGUUUUGGGGUUGUCAUCUUAGAGGUCAUUAGCAGGAAGAAGGCCACUCAUUCCGACAAUAACAACUUAGUGACGAGUUUCCUUGAGUGUCAUAAAGAAGGGAAGAAAGCAACUGAGUUGUUUGAUAAGGAAAUUGCCAUAGCAGGAGAUUUGGAGCUUCUUGACACUCUGGCCGGUAUUGCUGUGGAAUGUCUUAACCUUGAUGUGGAUCAAAGACCAUCAAUGACAAAUGUCGUGGCACGUCUUCUCACAUUGAAUAGAUCCCGUGUGUUGUAA
rnacentral:rRNA from 1 species